rnacentral:rRNA from 1 species
UACGGAGGGUGCAAGCGUUGUUCGGAUUUACUGGGCGUAAAGAGCGCGCAGGCGGUCGAAUAAGUCGAAUGUGAAAGCCCCGGCUUAACUGGGGAGGGUCAUUCGAUACUGCUCGACUUAAAGGCAGGAGAGGGUAGUGGAAUUCCCGGUGUAGUGGUGAAAUGCGUAGAUAUCGGGGAGGAACACCAGUGGCGAAGGCGACUACCUGGCCUGUUCUUGACUGCUGAGGCGCGAAAGCUGGGGGAGCAAACGGGG